CCCAGUAACGGCGAGUGAAGCGGCAACAGCUCAAAUUUGAAAUCUGGUCCUCACGGGCCCGAGUUGUAAUUUGUAGAGGAUGCUUUUGGUGAGGCACCGCCCGAGUUCCCUGGAACGGGACGCCACAGAGGGUGAGAGCCCCGUCUGGCUGGAUGCCGAGCCUCUGUAAAGCUCCUUCGACGAGUCGAGUAGUUUGGGAAUGCUGCUCAAAAUGGGAGGUAUAUGUCUUCUAAAGCUAAAUAUUGGCCAGAGACCGAUAGCGCACAAGUAGAGUGAUCGAAAGAUGAAAAGCACUUUGAAAAGAGGGUUAAACAGUACGUGAAAUUGUUGAAAGGGAAGCGCUCGUGACCAGACUUGGGCUUGGCGAAUCAUCCGGCGUUCUCGCCGGUGCACUUCGCCUCGUCCAGGCCAGCAUCAGUUCGCGCCGGGGGACAAAGGCUUCGGGAACGUGGCUCCUCCGGGAGUGUUAUAGCCCGUCGCGCAAUACCCUGGGGCGGACUGAGGUUCGCGCAUCUGCAAGGAUGCUGGCGUAAUGGUCAUCAGCGACCCGUCUUGAAACACGGACCAAGGAGUCGUCUUCGUAUGCGAGUGUUCGGGUGUCAAACCCCUACGCGUAAUGAAAGUGAACGCAGGUGAGAGCUUCGGCGCAUCAUCGACCGAUCCUGAUGUUCUCGGAUGGAUUUGAGUAAGAGCAUACGGGGCCGGACCCGAAAGAAGGUGAACUAUGCCUGUAUAGGGUGAAGCCAGAGGAAACUCUGGUGGAGGCUCGCAGCGGUUCUGACGUGCAAAUCGAUCGUCAAAUAUGGGCAUGGGGGCGAAAGACUAAUCGAACCUUCUAGUAGCUGGUUUCCGCCGAAGUUUCCCUCAGGAUAGCAGUGUUGACUUCAGUUUUAUGAGGUAAAGCGAAUGAUUAGGGACCCGGGGGCGCUAUUUAGCCUUCAUCCAUUCUCAAACUUUAAAUAUGUAAGAAGCCCUUGUUGCUUAAUUGAACGUGGGCAUUCGAAUGUAUCAACACUAGUGGGCCAUUUUUGGUAAGCAGAACUGGCGAUGCGGGAUGAACCGAACGCGAGGUUAAGGUGCCAGAGUAGACGCUCAUCAGACACCACAAAAGGCGUUAGUACAUCUUGACAGCAGGACGGUGGCCAUGGAAGUCGGAAUCCGCUAAGGACUGUGUAACAACUCACCUGCCGAAUGUACUAGCCCUGAAAAUGGAUGGCGCUCAAGCGUCUCACCCAUACCUCGCCCUCAGGGUAGAAACGAUGCCCUGAGGAGUAGGCGGACGUGGAGGUCAGUGACGAAGCCUARGGCGUGAGCCGGGGUCGAACGGCCUCUAGUGCAGAUCUU
rnacentral:rRNA from 1 species